CGAGUGGCGGACGGGUGAGUAAUGCUUGGGAACUUGCCUUUGCGAGGGGGAUAACAGUUGGAAACGACUGCUAAUACCGCAUAAUGUCUACGGACCAAACGGGGCUUAGGCUCCGGCGCAAAGAGAGGCCCAAGUGAGAUUAGCUAGAUGGUGAGGUAAAGGCUCACCAUGGCAACGAUCUCUAGCUGUUCUGAGAGGAAGAUCAGCCACACUGGGACUGAGACACGGCCCAGACUCCUACGGGAGGCAGCAGUGGGGAAUAUUGCACAAUGGGGGAAACCCUGAUGCAGCCAUGCCGCGUGUGUGAAGAAGGCCUUCGGGUUGUAAAGCACUUUCAGUUGUGAGGAAAGGGUGUUGGUUAAUACCCAAUAUCUGUGACGUUAACAACAGAAGAAGCACCGGCUAACUCCGUGCCAGCAGCCGCGGUAAUACGGAGGGUGCGAGCGUUAAUCGGAAUUACUGGGCGUAAAGCGCACGCAGGCGGUUUGUUAAGCUAGAUGUGAAAGCCCCGGGCUCAACCUGGGACGGUCAUUUAGAACUGGCAGACUAGAGUCUUGGAGAGGGGAGUGGAAUUCCAGGUGUAGCGGUGAAAUGCGUAGAUAUCUGGAGGAACAUCAGUGGCGAAGGCGACUCCCUGGCCAAAGACUGACGCUCAUGUGCGAAAGUGUGGGUAGCGAACAGGAUUAGAUACCCUGGUAGUCCACACCGUAAACGCUGUCUACUAGCUGUGUGUGAAUUUAAUUCGUGCGUAGCGAAGCUAACGCGCUAAGUAGACCGCCUGGGGAGUACGGCCGCAAGGUUAAAACUCAAAUGAAUUGACGGGGGCCCGCACAAGCGGUGGAGCAUGUGGUUUAAUUCGAUGCAACGCGAAGAACCUUACCUACACUUGACAUGCAGAGAACUUUCCAGAGAUGGAUUGGUGCCUUCGGGAACUCUGACACAGGUGCUGCAUGGCUGU
rnacentral:rRNA from 1 species